rnacentral:rRNA from 1 species
GAUGAACGCUGGCGGCGUGCCUAACACAUGCAAGUCGAGCGAACGGACGAGAAGCUUGCUUCUCUAAUGUUAGCGGCGGACGGGUGAGUAACACGUGUAUAACCUACCUAUAAGACUGGGAUAACUUCGGGAAACCGUAGCUAAUACCGGAUAAUAUUUUGAACCGCAUUGUUCAAAAGUGAAAGACGGUCUUGCUGUCACUUAUAGAUGGAUCCGCGCUCCAUUAGCUAGUUGGUAAGGUAACGGGUUACCAAGGCAACGAUGCAUAGCCGACCUGAGAGGGAGAUCGGCCACCCUGGAACUGAGACAGGGUACAGACUCCUACGGGGGGCAGCAGUAGGGAAUCUUACGGGAUGGGGGAGAGCCUGACGGAGCAACGCCGCGUGAGUGAUGAAGGUCUUCGGAUCGGAGAACGCUGUUAUUAGGGAAGAACAUAUGUGUAAGUAACUGUGAAGAUCUUGACGGUACCUAAUCAGAAAGCCACGGCUAACUACGUG